rnacentral:rRNA from 1 species
GAGGGCUGCGAUCCCGUAAGGGGGAGCGAAUCCCAAAAAGUCGCGCUCAGUUCGGAUCGAGGUCUGCAACCCGACCUCGUGAAGUCGGAGUCGCUAGUAAUCGCAGAUCAGCAAUGCUGCGGUGAAUACGUUCCCGGGCCUUGUACACACCGCCCGUCACACCACGAAAGUGGGCAACACCCGAAGCCGGUGGCCUAACCCUUGUGGAGGGAGCCGUCGAAGGUGGGGCUCGCGAUUGGGGUGAAGUCGUAACAAGGUAGCCGUACCGGAAGGUGCGGCUGGAUCACCUCCUUUCUAAGGAGC